AUUGAACGCUGGCGGCAUGCCUUACACAUGCAAGUCGAACGGUAACAGGUUAAGCUGACGAGUGGCGAACGGGUGAGUAAUGUAUCGGAACGUGCCCAGUCGUGGGGGAUAACUACUCGAAAGAGUGGCUAAUACCGCAUACGACCUGAGGGUGAAAGCGGGGGACCGUACGGCCUCGCGCGAUUGGAGCGGCCGAUAGCAGAUUAGCUCGUUGGUGGGGUAAAAGCCCACCAAGGCGACGAUCUGUAGCUGGUCUGAGAGGACGACCAGCCACACUGGGACUGAGACACGGCCCAGACUCCUACGGGAGGCAGCAGUGGGGAAUUUUGGACAAUGGACGCAAGUCUGAUCCAGCCAUUCCGCGUGCGGGAAGAAGGCCUUCGGGUUGUAAACCGCUUUUGUCAGGGAAGAAACGAGUUUCUCUAAUACAGAGACUUAAUGACGGUACCUGAAGAAUAAGCACCGGCUAACUACGUGCCAGCCGCCGCAGUAACAC
rnacentral:rRNA from 1 species